AGGGGCAGCACAGGUAGCAAUACCGGGUGGCGACCGGCGCACGGGUGAGUAACGCGUAUGCAACUUGCCUAUCAGAGGGGGAUAACCCGGCGAAAGUCGGACUAAUACCGCAUGAAGCAGGGGCCCCGCAUGGGGAUAUUUGCUAAAGAUUCAUCGCUGAUAGAUAGGCAUGCGUUCCAUUAGGCAGUUGGCGGGGUAACAGCCCACCAAGACGAUGAUAGGUAGGGGUUCUGAGAGGAAGGUCCCCCACAUUGGAACUGAGACACGGACCAAACUCC
rnacentral:rRNA from 1 species